GCUCCUGGGAGUCAGGUUUUGAAGGGUGACCCCCAACUCGGAUGCGUCUAGCUCCCUCCAGAUCUCCACGCCAACUCAGACUGAGAGGUCUAUGGGACAGAACCUGAGUGGGUAUUUUCGGGUUUGUUUGUUUUUCUUCACUUGGGUGCAGACUGGCUUUCAAUUCCCUGAGAUGCUCCUGCCUCGGCUCCCUGAAAGCGGGAAUCACAGACGAGCGUCACCACGCGGGAACCUAUUUGCUGUUUUGAAGAUGUGACACAGUGGUUUAGUUCCUUACCCCGUUCUGCUGCGACGACCUCAUUCUAAAUGGGUCAGCAGGCUGAAAAGGACGCGGCUGUUGAGGGGCACAGCCCCGACCCCAGCUCAGAUCCCCAAAAUAUCCACGAUGACACGAAGGCUUGGAGGACGGACGCUCACUAAUGAUUCUAAUCUCCAGAGCGUGCUAGGGGCUUCGCCUGCGGCCGUGGACCAUCUCUUCGGGUAGUGUGCAUGCACUGUAAGAGUUGUGUACCUUUUCCAGCCUUUCUCUGCCGCAUUUAAAACUACUUUGGGUGCAUUCUGCUGCUACUUUUUCUGUGAGAUUUCCCGCUGCUGUUGAAAAAGUGAAAAAGAUGGAAAGUAGGAGGGAUCAGGUUUUCAUUUCGAGGUUCUGAACGUUCUUUUUGGCCUUGUCUUCUCCGGGAAUCGAGAAAAGGUGACUCUGUAAGAUAGGUUCUUUAAGAUAGGUGGCUAAGAAAAAGGGCCUUCGGAUCAGAAUGCAGAACUCUAAGCCCAUCCUCCAGCACCAUGUCUGCCCGGAUGCUGCCUUGCUUCUCUCCAUGACGAUAAUGGGAUAAUGGAUUAAACCUCUGAAAGUGUAAGCCAGAUCCAAUGAGAUGUUUUCCUUUAGAGGAGUUGCUGAAUGGUGUCUCUUCAUAGCAAUAAAACCCCCUGAG
rnacentral:lncRNA from 1 species